rnacentral:lncRNA from 1 species
CUCUGACCGUCUGCCGCAUGAUAGGGGUUGGGGCCUCCAGGGCUGAGCAGCACAGCGGGCUGCCACUUUGACCCACUCUGGCGGUCGGCCGCUUCAGUGGGAGGGAGGGCCCCAGGGCUGAGCAGCGCGGCGGGGUGCCUCUUUGACCCACUCUGGCGGUCGGCAGCCAGAGUGGGGGGGGGGCCUCCAGGGCUGAGCAGUGCGGUGGGCUGCCAAUUUGACCCAGUCUUUCUGUCGGCCGCCUGAGUAGAGGGGGGCCCGCCCGGACUGAGCUGCGCGGCGGGCUGCCACUUUGACCCACUCUGGCGGUCGGCCGCCUGAGUGGGCGUGGGACCCCCAGGGCUGAGCUGCGUGGUGGGCUGCCACUAUGAGCCACUGUGGCGAUCGGCCGCCAGACUACGUGGGGCGCCCCCAGGGCUGAGCAGUGCUGCGGGCUGCGACUUUGACCCACUCGGGCGGUCGGCCGCCUGAGUGGGAGUGGGGUCCCCAGUGCUGAGCAGCGCGGCAGGCUGCCAGUUUGACCACUCUGGCGGUGGGCCACCUGAGUUGGCGGUGGCCGCCAGGGGUGAGCAGCGCGGCGGGCUGCCACUUUUUCCCACUCUGUCUAUGGGCCGCUUGAGUGGGGGUCGGGCCCGCCAAUGCUCAGCACCUCGGAGGGCUGCCACUUUGACCCACUCUGGCGGAUUGCCGCCUGAGUGGGGGUGGGGCCCCCAGGGCUGAGCAGCGCGGCGGGCUGCCACUCUGACCCACUCUGGCGGUGGGGCGCCUUAGUGGGAGGGAGGGGCCCCAGGGCUGAGCAGCGCAGCGGGCUGCCACUUAGACCCACUCUGGCGGUCGGCCGCUUGGGUGGGGAAAGGGCCCCCAGGGAUGAGCAUCGUGGCGGACUGCCACUUUGACCCACUCUGGCCGUCGCCCGCCUGACUGUUGGGGGGGCUGAGCAGCGCGGCGGGCUCCCUCUUUGACCCUCUCUGGCUGUCGGCCGCCUGAGUGGGGGUGGGGCUGCCACUUUGACCCACUCUGGCGGUCAGACUCCUGAGUGGGGAGAGGGCCCCCAGGGCUGAGCAGCCCGGCGGGCUGCCACUUUGACCCACUCUGGCGGUCGGCCGCCUGAGUGGGGGGAGGGCCCCCAGGGCUGAGCAGCGCUGUGGGCUGCCACUUUGUCCCACUCUGCUGGUUGGGCACCUGAGUGUGGGGGAGGUCCCCAGGGGCUGAGCAGCAAUGCGUGCUAACACUUUGACCCACUCUGGCGGUGGGCCGCCUGAGUGGGGUGAGGGAUCCCAGGGCUGAGCAGCACGGUGGGCUGACACUUUGACCCACUCUGGCGGUGGGCCGCCUGAGUGGGGUGUGGCCACCAGGGCUGAGCAGCGCGGCGGGCUGCCACUUUGACCCACUCUGGCGGUCUGCAACCUGAGUCAGGUUGUGGCCCCCAGGGCUGAGCAGCGCGGCGGGCUGCCACUUUGACCCACUCUGGUGGUCGGCAGCCUGAGUGGGGGUGGGGGGGCCUCCAGGGCUGAGCAGUGCGGCGGGCUGCCAAUUUGACCCAGUCUGUCUGUCGGCCGCCUGAGUAGAGGGGGGGCCCGCCCGGACUGAGCUGCGCGGCAGGCUGCCACUUUGAGCCACUCUGGCGGUCGGCCGCCUGAGUGGGCGUGGGACCCCCAGGGCUGAGCAGCGCCGUGGGCUGCCACUUUGACCCACUCUGGCGGUCGGCCGCCUUAGUGGGGGGCGGGGACCCCAGGGCUGAGCAGCGCGGUGGGCUGCCACUAUGAGCCACUGUGGCGAUCGGUCGCCAGACUACGUGGGGCGCCCCCAGGGCUGAGCAGCGCUGCGGGCUGCGACUUUAACCCACUCGGGCGGUCGGCCGCCUGAGUGGGAGUGGGGCCCCCAGUGCUGAGCAGCGCGGCAGGCUGCCAGUUUGACCCACUCUGGCGGUGGGCCACCUGAGUUGGCGGUGGCCGCCAGGGGUGAGCAGCAUGGCGGGCUGCCACUUUGACCCAGUCUGGCUGUCGGCCGCCUGAGUAGAGGGGGGCCCGCCCGGGCUGGGCAGCGCAGCGGGCUGCCACUUUCACCAUUGUGGUGGUCUGCCGCCUGAGUCAGGGUUGGACCCCCAGGGCUGAGCUGCGCGGCGGGCUGCCACUAUGACCCACUCUGUCUGUCGGCCGCCUGAGUGGGGUGAGGGACCCCAGGGCUGAGCAGCGCUGCGGGCUGCCAAUUUGGGCCACUCUGGCGGUCGGACACCAGAGUGUGUGGGGCGCCCCCAGGGCUGAGCAGCGCAUCGGGCUGCCCCUUUGACCCACUAUGGCGGUCUGCCGCCUGAGUCAAGGUGGGGCCCCCAGGGCUGAGCAGCGCGGCGGGCUGCCACUUUAACCCACUCUUUUGGUCGGCCGCCUGAGUGGCGUGAGGGACCCCAGGGCUGAGCAGCGCGGCGGGCUGCCACUAUGUCCCACUCUGGCGGUCGGGCGCUUGAGUGGGGUGGAAGGCCCCCUGGGUUGAGCAGCGCAGUGGUCUGCCACUUUUACGCACUCUGGUGGUCGGCCGCCUGAGUGGGGGGCGUAGCCAUAGGUCUGAGCAGCGUGGCGGACUCCCACUUUUACGCACUGUGGCGGUCGUCCGCCUGAGUGGGGUGUGCGGGGGCCGCCAGGACUGAGCAGCGAGGCGGGAUGCCACUUUUUCCCACUCUGACCGUCGGCCGCCUGAGUCGGGGUGGGGCCCAGAGGGCUGAGCAGUGCGGCGGGCUGCCACUUUGAGCCACUCUGGCAGUCGGCCGCCAGACUGGGUGGGGCGCCCCCAGGGCCGAGCAGCGGGGCAGGCUGCCACUUUUUCCCACUCUGGUGGUGGGCCGCCUGAGUGGUGGCGGGGCCCAUAGGGCUGAGCAGCGCGGUGGGCUGCCACUAUGAGCCACUCUGGCGGUGGGCCGCCAGACUGGGUGGGACACCCCCAGGGCCGAGCAGCGCGGCGGGCUGCCACUUUGACCCACUCUUUUGGUCGGCCGCCUGAGUGGCGUGAGGGACCCCAGGGCUGAGCAGCGCGGCGGGCUGCCACUUUUACCCAAUUUUCAGAUUUCAGCUAGUGUUCACAUCGUGAUUUCCUCUUCCACUAAUCCAGUUUAUUUCAGUGAAUUCACCUUAGUGAGUUGCUUCAAUUCUCCAAGACUGAUAUAUUUCAAAACCAGUAUGCCUCAUCCUAAUGCAUUACGUUCCCCCCAAAUAAGAGAUCCUACUCUUGAUAUUUUUUUUUUGGUUUAAUUUAUGACAAUCUUAAAUAAAUUCUAGUGAAGUAGCCGAUAUUAUAGCCAAACCACUCUAAUAUCUUAAAACGGUAUUUAUGAAAAUGCGCAUUUUGUGGCAUCAGUUUAAAGAGUGGAGAUGGUGUGUGUUUGUAUGUGUGUAUAUGUAAAUUCAUAUAUACUGUAUGCAUGCAUAUAUGUAUGUAUGUACGCAUAUUAAAUACUAUUUACUAUUUUACAGUUUACACUGUUUAAAUAUAUAGAUGCACAUAUUGCCUCUAUUGCUUUCUUCUUUCUACUAUCUUCCAAAAUCCAAACCCUUCUUUCUUCAGGGUUCAAGAAAUCAAGACGUCGUUUAGAAAAAGAAAAUAAGGCUGAUUUUUAUUGAACGUAUAUGGUGUGCCAAGUUGAUUAACCGUUGGUAAACAUUAGGAUCACUGGAUCGAUUUUAGCUUUUCAGUUUCUCUUUUGAACAACUCUGUUUUCAAGGGUCCAUAUUUCAUGACUUUUAUUCUUUGAGUCCUUCCAAAGAACAAAAAUAGCCUUUACCUUUUUUCGUAGAAUAUAAUUCAUACUCCCUUGCGAUUAUCAUUUUGGUCCAUUGGAUUCUGUAAAGAAUCUAAAAUGAAUUAUGAGAUCAUGAUUUUAUUUUCUCUGUAUUUGAAACGUUUUUCUAAUUCAUCAUCUUAAGAAUUCUUCCAUCAUUACUCAUGAUUACUCAUCAGUUAUUCCAACUAAGCUGAAAAAAGAUAAGUAAUAAGAAAACAAAAGAAUGGUGAGAUCACUUAGGAGGAGGACACAAGAGUGGAAUAAAUUGUUAUUUUUCUGUGUUUUUAUUGUGUUAUCCAACUAUUGCAUCAUCUUUUAAGAAAGUGUUAGAAAAUACUAGGGGCAGCAUCUCUGUAGUUUGCUUUCAGAUCCACUCAAUAUGAGAAUUAGAAGUUUUUAUUUUCCAACCAUGAUGACAAAGAGAAGAAAUUUCACAUUCCAUAGCCAUAAGGUGAAUACGAUCAGAAGAAUGAAUGAAUGUAAAGGAAAAGAUUGCAGCACUUAGGCUCUAACGGUACGAUGAAAUUUUCAUAUUAAUGAAAUCAGACUAUGUGUCUUCAGAUGACGAUAUUUUAAAUAAAUUUUCUCAAACUUAAGAAUUGAUCCCUAAACAAUGUAUUUCCAAGAAAAAAAAAAUGGAAAUACAGUAUUCUCCUCCAGUUAGUCCUUCAAAGGAAAGUACUUCACGCAACAGUUUGAAAUAAAAAUCUGGACAGUCCCACAUUGUUAAAAGAUGAAAGUAUUCUUUCAUCUCCAGUGAUGUCUAUGGACAAAAAUUUACUGAUUAAAAUAGUUUUACUAUAUUUAAAAUGUAUUAAUAUUUAAUAAAGUUGAUUUCAGUAAGUCUUUAUGAUAUUUGUAAAUUCCUUGUAAAAUGACAUAAAAUUAUAUGAAGUUAAAAUGUGCCCAGAGGGUAAACAGCAAUAACUAUUUGCCCUGUAAUCUGAGGGUUAGAUAUCCCAUCUCAAUUCAUUUUCACAAAAAUUCUCAAGGAAUCAUUAUCCUUUCACCUCCACUUUGAGUUAACUCGUCUAAGACUACAGCAUAAGACAACAUUAAAGGCAAAAUUUUAGCGCAAAUUUCCUAAUCUUGAAUUACACAUUGCUUCACUUAUGCCGUGGUACCUCGCUUCAAAGGAGAAAAAACACUUACCUAUGUCCUCUGAUAACUCUGAGGACCUCUUUCGAAAGAAGUCGGACAGAGAUGAUAUUUAAUAUUCAAAGGAAUAAUGGAAAUUGAAAUCUGCAUUUCUUUAUCACUUUCACAUUGUGGAUAUUUAUUUACUGAACAAUUUCCAUAACCUUGUGAUAAUGUGUCGUAUUCAGACAAGUAAAAGGAGAAGCCCAUGUUAUGCUUGUCCUCAAAAUAAUCUUCUUAGUUAGGACACUAUAGCUUAAUUUCCCAGAAAAGUUAUAAGACUUUGUAGGAGUUCCCAGGAAUGGUCCAGAUUGAACCCUGUAGAAUGUUAGGCAACAAGUAGAUUCAAGUGCCUUAAAAAUCAUCUAGUGAAGCAUCCGAGAAUGUAAUUCCCCUUAUGGAGGAAAAAUAUUACAUGGUACGAUUAGAUUUUGAUGAAUAGAAGAUAGAAGGUAACCAGCUGGUUUAAAUUAUGUUGUAAAUCUAGUAAACUAAAGGAAUAAAUAUAUUAGUACAUUGCUUUCAUGUUAUAGGUUUUGUGCAGAUGUUUGCUGAAUAAACUAAUCACUAAUUUAGAAAGAGAUCACUGCUCAGCAAUGAUGGUUAAUUUUUUGUGACAACUCAACUGGACUAAGGGAUGCCCAGGGAGCUGGUAAAACGUUAUUUGUGGGUGUGUCUAUGAAGGUGUCUCUGGAAGAUAUUAGCAUUUGAAUCAGUAGGCUGAGUGAAAAAGAUCAUCCUCACCAAUGUGGGUAGGCAUCAUUGUAUACCUUGGGGGCCUGAAUAGAACAAAAAGGUAGCGGAGGGCAAAUUUGUUCUCUGUUGAGGUGGGACAUCUGUCUUCUCCUGCUCUUGAAUUUCAGCACCCCUGGUUUUUGAGCCUUUGGACUAAGAUUGGGACUUACAUCAUUGCCUCUCCAGUUCCUCAGCUCUUCAAAUUUGGACUAGAACUACACCACCAGUUUUCCUGGGCUUCCCAUUUGCAGGCUACAGAUCAUGGAACUUCUCAGCCUCCAUAAUCACAUGAGCCAAUCACUCAUAAUAAAUCUCUUUCUGUACACCUCUAUCUCUGUCUCUGCCUCUGUCUCUAUCUCUAUAUCCUGCUGGUUCUGUUUCCC